rnacentral:tRNA from 1 species
GCCAGGGUGGUCGAGUCUGGUAAGACGCUGGACUUAUGAUCCAGUUGACACAUGCACCUGUGUCACACGGGUUCAAAUCCCGUCCCUGGCG